CGCCCGAAUUCCGUAGCAUGCAUACGAUGGACACUUUACUAUCCCAUGAGGCCACGGGAGAGGAGGCGUCAUAUUCGAAAAUGGCGGAAGGCGGCGACGCGGCUCUUUUCAAGUGUGCUGUUGACACUGAACGUAGUAAAUCCUAACACUUCAAGCAAAGGUCUUACUGCCUUUUUAUGCUUGAUUUCUGUGCAUUUAUUGUGACAGAGCAGGGACUUGAGGGCAAAAUUUCUGCCGCUCAAGUCAAAAGAAAGUGGGAGAACCUAAAACAAAAAUAUAAAACCCGGGAUAUCCAACAAAGAUAUCGAGGAACUUCCCCUCGUGGUCGGUGAUGGCCUGCAGCUGAACAGAGUGGAACAGCUUCCUAUUACAAUAGCAUGGGGCAUCACUUGCUGGUGGCUUGAUCCGGAUGUGGCAUCCGUCUAUUGCACCAGCUACCAUGUGGAAAACUGGAGACCCAGCCAGCUGGGCAAAACCUGCCCCCACUGCCUCCAGGUCAU